UAAUACGGAGGAUGCGAGCGUUAUCCGGAUUCAUUGGGUUUAAAGGGUGCGUAGGCGGACUAUUAAGUCAGUGGUGAAAUCCUGCAGCUUAACUGCAGAACUGCCAUUGAUACUGAUAGCCUUGAGUUUGGUUAAGGUAGGCGGAAUGUGUAAUGUAGCGGUGAAAUGCUUAGAUAUUACACAGAACACCAAUUGCGUAGGCAGCUUACUGAGCCGACACUGACGCUGAGGCACGAAAGCGUGGGGAUCGAACAGGAUUAGAUACCCUGGUAGUCCACGCCGUAAACGAUGAUUACUCGCUGUUGGCGAUACACUGUCAGCGGCUAAGCAAAAGCAAUAAGUAAUCCACCUGGGGAGUACGGCCGCAAGGUUGAAACUCAAAUGAAUUGACGG
rnacentral:rRNA from 1 species